rnacentral:lncRNA from 1 species
AAAACAAGAAUUUAGUCAGGAUUUGGCCAGAUGCCGAAAGGAGAAAAGAAGAAAAGUUUUAUAAAAUAAAAUAAAUGAAGAAUGAAUACUAAAUAAAAUCAAAAGGGAUAAUCAAAGAAAAAAAAAUUAUAAAAUAAAAAUAGAAAAUAAAAUAGAAAGUUGUGGGUUGUCUCCCACGAAGCGCUUUGUUUAAUGUCGCAAGCUCGACAUAAAAUUAGUAAAUGUUAAUCUAUAGAUUUAGGAGACAAUACGUCUAAGUGCAGGACUUGCGAGUCUUCAUUGUUUUCAUCAUAGUGAUAAUGUUUCAG